AUUGAACGCUGGCGGCAGGCCUAACACAUGCAAGUCGAGCGGAUGAAGGGAGCUUGCUCCUGUAUUCAGCGGCGGACGGGUGAGUAAUGCCUAGGAAUCUGCCUGGUAGUGGGGGAUAACGUCCGGAAACGGGCGCUAAUACCGCAUCCGUCCUGAGGGAGAAAGUGGGGGAUCUUCGGACCUCACGCUAUCAGAUGAGCCUAGGUCGGAUUAGCUAGUUGGUGGGGUAAAGGCCUACCAAGGCGACGAUCCGUAACUGGUCUGAGAGGAUGAUCAGUCACACUGGAACUGAGACACGGUCCAGACUCCUACGGGAGGCAGCAGCGGGGAAUAUUGGACAAUGGGCGAAAGCCUGAUCCAGCCAUGCCGCGUGUGUGAAGAAGGUCUUCGGAUUGUAAAGCACUUUAAGUUGGGAGGAAGGGCAGUAAGUUAAUACCUUGCUGUUUUGACGGUACCAACAGAAUAAGCACCGGCUAACUUCGUG
rnacentral:rRNA from 1 species